rnacentral:SRP_RNA from 12 species
CGGAAGGCAGCAGCCAUCAGCCGAUUGCUCCAUUG